UGCCAUUGAAACUGGCGAACUUGAGUACAGUAGAGGUAGGCGGAAUUCGUGGUGUAGCGGUGAAAUGCUUAGAUAUCACGAAGAACUCCGAUUGCGAAGGCAGCUUGCUGGACUGUAACUGACGCUGAGGCACGAAAGCGUGGGGAUCAAACAGGAUUAGAUACCCUGGUAGUCCACGCCGUAAACGAUGAAUGCUAGCUGUUAGCGAUAUACUGUUAGCGGCACAGAGAAAUCGUUAAGCAUUCCACCUGGGGAGUACGCCGGCAACGGUGAAACUCAAAGGAAUUGACGGGGGCCCGCACAAGCGGAGGAACAUGUGGUUUAAUUCGAUGAUACGCGAGGAACCUUACCUGGGCUUAAAUUGCAGUGGAAUAACGUGGAAACAUGUUAGCCUUCGGGCCGCUGUGAAGGUGCUGCAUGGUUGUCGUCAGCUCGUGCCGUGAGGUGUCGGCUUAAGUGCCAUAACGAGCGCAACCCUCAUCGAUAGUUACUAACAGGUUAAGCUGAGGACUCUAUCGAGACUGCCGACGUAAGUCGUGAGGAAGGUGGGGAUGACGUCAAAUCAGCACGGCCCUUACGUCCAGGGCUACACACGUGUUACAAUGGGGGGUACAAAGGGCAGCUACCUGGCGACAGGAUGCUAAUCUCAAAAACCUCUCUCAGUUCGGAUUGGAGUCUGCAACCCGACUCCAUGAAGCUGGAUUCGCUAGUAAUCGCGCAUCAGCCACGGCGCGGUGAAUACGUUCCCGGGCCUUGUACACACCGCCCGUCAAGCCAUGGGAGCCGGGGGGACCUGAAGUAUGCAACCGUAAGGAGCGUCCUAGGGUAAAACUGGUGACUGGGGCUAAGUCGUAACAAGGUACC
rnacentral:rRNA from 1 species